ACGUUAGCGGCGGACGGGUGAGUAACACGUGGAUAACCUACCUAUAAGACUGGGAUAACUUCGGGAAACCGGAGCUAAUACCGGAUAAUAUAUUGAACCGCAUGGUUCAAUAGUGAAAGACGGUUUUGCUGUCACUUAUAGAUGGAUCCGCGCCGCAUUAGCUAGUUGGUAAGGUAACGGCUUACCAAGGCAACGAUGCGUAGCCGACCUGAGAGGGUGAUCGGCCACACUGGAACUGAGACACGGUCCAGACUCCUACGGGAGGCAGCAGUAGGGAAUCUUCCGCAAUGGGCGAAAGCCUGACGGAGCAACGCCGCGUGAGUGAUGAAGGUCUUCGGAUCGUAAAACUCUGUUAUUAGGGAAGAACAAAUGUGUAAGUAACUAUGCACGUCUUGACGGUACCUAAUCAGAAAGCCACGGCUAACUACGUGCCAGCAGCCGCGGUAAUACGUAGGUGGCAAGCGUUAUCCGGAAUUAUUGGGCGUAAAGCGCGCGUAGGCGGUUUUUUAAGUCUGAUGUGAAAGCCCACGGCUCAACCGUGGAGGGUCAUUGGAAACUGGAAAACUUGAGUGCAGAAGAGGAAAGUGGAAUUCCAUGUGUAGCGGUGAAAUGCGCAGAGAUAUGGAGGAACACCAGUGGCGAAGGCGACUUUCUGGUCUGUAACUGACGCUGAUGUGCGAAAGCGUGGGGAUCAAACAGG
rnacentral:rRNA from 1 species